rnacentral:tRNA from 1 species
GCCCUGAUGGUCUAGCGGUAUGAUUCUCCCUUAGGGUUGUCUUCGGCAUCUCAGAUUGGGAGAGGUCCCAGGUUCGAUCCCUGGUUAGGGCC